rnacentral:lncRNA from 1 species
AUGCUGAACGGAGGGAGGGAGGGCCUGUUUGAGCUGGGACAGCAGCUCCAGCAGCAGGGGGAGUACCAGGCCGCCCUCCACUGCUUCCUCAGCUGCCUGCUGGGACUGACUCAUGUGCAGAGCUUCACCUCUCUGCCCAACUGCUUACACCAGAUUGCAGAACUCUUCAUCACUGAAAAGAAUUAUGGGAAGGCCCUCCAGUUCAUACAGGCUGAAAAAAUGUUCUAUGAAGUGGCAUUGAUCGAGCUCACCGCUCUUCAGGGGAGCACAGGGCCUCAAGAGGAGGCUACGCUGGGCUCCGCGGGAUGGACAACCCCAGAGGAACUUUCAGAGCAGGCCUCCCAGGCACAGCACCUCGAACGGCUGGCUCAGCUCUGCAUCAUGAGCAAACAACCUCAUCUUGCCCUAGAAUACAGCGGUAAGGCUACAAAGAUUCACCAGAGGGCCUUUGGAAAUGACCAUCCAAUUACAGCUAGAAGCCUUGAGCUCAUGGCAACCGUAUAUGCUGAAAUUGGCAAGACUGAAUAUUCAGACUCUCUGGGUCAGUGUGUGUCUGCACUGUCCAAACGUUUCGCUGCUGCAGAGUCUCUCAGAGACUCGGUCAGCUGUCUUCCUCAUUCCCACCGGGAGAAACACUCAGAGGUACGCCACAGAAAGGACACUCACCACCAUCAGGAAGACACACUUAAACCUAAGUUAACCAACAGCAAAGUCCCCACUUCCAUCCUAAAGAAGCCAAGUUCCAACUACGGACUAGACACAGAACUCAACCACAAACGUAAAGGCGAGCGCAGAGUUCGAUUCAGGGAGCCUGAGACCACAGUGCACGACAAUCCUUAUUGUGACUGUAUAGGUGCCUAUGAGACUACACCAUCCCGCCCCCACCUUGCCCUGUUCACCUGCCUCUUCCUGCUGAUGUCAUUCCUGGGCGUCGCCAUGUACUGCACAGACCGUCGACGCCCACAGAGAGUGUGCGAGGAGCUGGAGGCAACUUUGGCCGUCUACCUGCUGCACAUGAAACAGCUUCUGUGGGGCUGCUGGAUAUGGUUGACAAUGCAGUGA